UACGAAGGGGGCUAGCGUUGUUCGGAAUUACUGGGCGUAAAGCGCACGUAGGCGGAUCGAUCAGUCAGGGGUGAAAUCCCAGGGCUCAACCCUGGAACUGCCUUUGAUACUGUCGAUCUGGAGUAUGGAAGAGGUGAGUGGAAUUCCGAGUGUAGAGGUGAAAUUCGUAGAUAUUCGGAGGAACACCAGUGGCGAAGGCGGCUCACUGGCCCGAUACUGACGCUGAGGCACGAAAGCGUGGGGAGCAAACAGG
rnacentral:rRNA from 1 species